rnacentral:rRNA from 1 species
AUUGAACGCUGGCGGCAUGCUUUACACAUGCAAGUCGUACGGCAGCACAGAGAAGCUUGCUUCUUGGGUGGCGAGUGGCGAACGGGUGAGUAAUAUAUCGGAACGUACCGAGUAAUGGGGGAUAACUAAUCGAAAGAUUAGCUAAUACCGCAUAUUCUCUGAGGAGGAAAGCAGGGGACCUUCGGGCCUUGCGUUAUUCGAGCGGCCGAUAUCUGAUUAGCUAGUUGGUGGGGUAAAGGCCUACCAAGGCGACGAUCAGUAGCGGGUCUGAGAGGAUGAUCCGCCACACUGGGACUGAGACACGGCCCAGACUCCUACGGGAGGCAGCAGUGGGGAAUUUUGGACAAUGGGCGCAAGCCUGAUCCAGCCAUGCCGCGUGUCUGAAGAAGGCCUUCGGGUUGUAAAGGACUUUUGUCAGGGAAGAAAAGGCUGUUGCUAAUAUCGACAGCUGAUGACGGUACCUGAAGAAUAAGCACCGGCUAACUACGUG